GCGACGUUGAAAACUGGUCUUCAUUUGGUCCGUCGGAUUUGGUCCAAAUUAAGCCCCAAAAGCGACGUUGAAAAUUGGUCUUCGUUUGGUCCGUCGGAUUUGGUCCAAAUUAAGCCCAAAAAGCGACAUUUAACGUCUUUUUUUUAAAAUCCAAAUUUAGCCCAAAAAUUGAUGUAAAUGGGCUUUAGUCCAAAUUUAGCAGAAAAAAAAACUUUUAUUUCGCACCACAAAUCCAUUAACAUAAACUAGUGAAGAAAUAUAUUAGACAUCAUGUCUGAAGCACUGUUAAAUAUAUUUAAAUAUAUUUUGAAAACACUUGAUGGUCACGCGCUGUACUGGAGUCACCAUGGAAACGGGGCUCAGCUCAACCGUCAAGCAGCUGCAGACGCUGUCUCUCGUGGGUGUUUUCACUAAUUUCAGAAAUGGUCAGGGUCUUCAGAAAAAGUCCGUUAGCAUCUCAACUGUAAUGCUAACUACAAGAGAUUCUUCCAUGCUGAUGGCCGUGCGUGUAUCCAGCUGAAGAACAUUUUUAGACAUUAUGAAACAUAACUAAGUUUAGCUCCCACCCUAGUUAAGCAGACCUGAGCAGCUGAUCAAGGAUCAGCAGAAACUCUGCAGAACGGUGGUCCUCCAGCCCAGGACUGGACACCAGUGUUAUGCUAGAGAAAAAACAGCGAGGCUAAAGCAUUCAAAGUGGC